GUUAAGAGGGUACAGGGCGCGGAGGUAAGGCGGAGGGUACGGGGGGUGAUCGGAAUUGCUGGGGGUAAGGCGGGGGACGGCGGUUUGUUAAGCGGGAGGUGCAAGCCCUGGGCUCAACCGAGGAAUAGCAUUUCGAACUGGCGAACUAGAGUCUUGUAGAGGGGGGUAGAAUUCCAGGUGUAGCGGUGAAAUGCGUAGAGAUCUGGAGGAAUACCGGUGGCGAAGGCGGCCCCCUGGACAAAGACUGACGCUCAUGCACGAAAGCGUGGGGAGCAAACAGGAUUAGAUACCCGAGUAGUC
rnacentral:rRNA from 1 species